rnacentral:rRNA from 1 species
UACGUAGGGGGCUAGCGUUGUCCGGAUUUAUUGGGCGUAAAGAGCGUGUAGGCGGCCAGGUAGGUCUGCUGUGAAAACUCGAGGCUCAACCUCGAGACGUCGGCGGAAACCAUCUGGCUAGAGUCCGGAAGAGGAGAGUGGAAUUCCUGGUGUAGCGGUGAAAUGCGCAGAUAUCAGGAAGAACACCCGUGGCGAAGGCGGCCAACUGGUCCGGUACUGACGCUGAGGUGCGAAAGCGUGGGGAGCAAACAGG